AUGCAAAUGAAGACGAACAGUGCAGCUGCGCUCUGCUGUGUGUUUCAGGAGCUGUAUCAGCACAAAUACAAGGCUGAGGAGGCGCCUAAAGACCUUGAUCAAGAGCGGGUCAUGAAUAGUUUGUCAGCUGAAGCUCCUGCGAUGGUGGAAUCAGCCAUUCAGAUCGUAAAGUCAAUCAGCACGCUGCAGGAACAAGCCCAAGGCCUACGUCAGAUCCUCAGCAUAAAGACGAGCGACGCCACGCUGGAGGUUCGCAGAGAGGUGUAUGGCCAGUCGGGCGCCGCCGCAAAGAGCAGGCAGCCAAGAAAGAGAGCUGUGGAAGAGGCAGACUGCUACCGGAAACGAGCCGACGAAGAGGGGUGUCCGAAUAACAUCGCUGUAGGACUGGAAUACAAUGGACUUAAUGCAUGAAAAGCUGUGGUUAAGAAUUCUUGCACUUUUCUUUUUUAAGGCCUGAAUUAAUACACCUAAGCCAAACACACAUCAGUGACAGAGAACCGGCGUCUGGUUCCUUUCAUUGGUACCAGAUCAUUUACUGCAUGUGAGUGAAAUAAAGUUUAUAUAUGUCCAGCUUUUUUUAUUUUU
rnacentral:lncRNA from 1 species